rnacentral:rRNA from 1 species
UACGAGGGGGGCAAGCGUUGUUCGGAAUUAUUGGGCGUAAAGGGCGCGUAGGCGGUGCGGUAAGUCACCUGUGAAAACUCUGGGCUCAACUCAGAGCCUGCAGGCGAAACUGGAGAGCUUGGGUUCUGGAGGGGAAAGCGGAAUUCCCAGUGUAGCGGUGAAAUGCGUAGAUAUUGGGAAGAACACCUGAGGCGAAGGCGGGUUGCUGGGCUGAUACUGACGCUGAGGCGCGAAAGCCAGGGGAGCAAACGGG